ACAUUCUUGGCUCAGUGGUAGAGCAUCUGAUUCCAGAAAAUGGUCUGUUUCUAGAAGGUCGUCCGUUCGAUCCGGGCAGAGGUCA